rnacentral:rRNA from 1 species
UACGUAGGGUGCGAGCGUUAAUCGGAAUUACUGGGCGUAAAGGGUGCGCAGGCGGCGUCGCAAGUCAGGCGUGAAAUCCCCGGGCUUAACCUGGGAACUGCACUUGAAACUACGACGCUGGAGUAUGGCAGAGGGAAGUGGAAUUCCACGUGUAGCGGUGAAAUGCGUAGAUAUGUGGAGGAACACCAGUGGCGAAGGCGACUUUCUGGCCUAUAACUGACGCUGAGGCGCGAAAGCGUGGGGAGCAAACAGG